GCUGGGCAUGGUGGCGCAUGCCUGUAAUCCCAGCUACUCGGGAAGCUGAGGCGGGAGAAUUACUUGAACCCAGGAGGCAGAGGUUGCAGUGAGCCAAGAUCGAGCCACUGCACUCCAGCCUGGACGACAGAGAGAGACUCCGUCUCAA
ensembl:misc_RNA Metazoa_SRP Metazoan signal recognition particle RNA